rnacentral:rRNA from 1 species
GAGUCAUUGGGACUCUGACUAAACCUAAAGGCGCAAUGAAAGUAAAGGUCCGCCUCGCGCGGACCGAGGGAGGAUGGGUCGUCCUUCGGGUCGGCCCCGCACUCCCGGGGCGUCUCGUUCUCAUCGCGAGAAGAGGCGCACCCAGAGCGUACACGCUGGGACCCGAAAGAUGGUGAACUAUGCCUGGUCAGGACGAAGUCAGGGGAAACCCUGAUGGAGGUCCGUAGCGAUUCUGACGUGCAAAUCGAUCGUCGGAACUGGGUAUAGGGGCGAAAGACUAAUCGAACCAUCUAGUAGCUGGUUCCCUCCGAAGUUUCCCUCAGGAUAGCUGGCGCUCGCCUUUGCGAGUCUCAUUCGGUAAAGCGAAUGAUUAGAGGCAUUGGGGUCGAAACGGCCUCAACCUAUUCUCAAACUUUAAAUGGGUGAGAUCUCCGGCUUGCUUGAACGUUGAAGCCGCGAGACAUCGGAUCAGAGAGUGCCAAGUGGGCCACUUUUGGUAAGCAGAACUGGCGCUGUGGGAUGAACCAAACGCCGAGUUAAAGCGCCAAAAUCGACGCUUAUGGGAUACCAUGAAAGGCGUUGGUAACUUAAGACAGCAGGACGGUGG